rnacentral:rRNA from 1 species
UACGUAGGGGGCGAGCGUUGUCCGGAUUUAUUGGGCGUAAAGAGCUCGUAGGCGGCUUGGCAAGUCGGGUGUGAAACCUCCAGCUCAACCGGGAGACGCCACUCGAUACUGCCAUGGCUAGAGUCCGGUAGGGGACCACGGAAUUCCUGGUGUAGCGGUGAAAUGCGCAGAUAUCAGGAGGAACACCGGUGGCGAAGGCGGUGGUCUGGGCCGGCACUGACGCUGAGGAGCGAAAGCGUGGGUAGCAAACAGG